rnacentral:rRNA from 1 species
AUCGUUUGGGCCGACCUCAGAGCAGGUG